rnacentral:rRNA from 1 species
GUACCGUCAGGCUUCAGCAUUAUUAGUGCUGAAGGGUUUCUUCCCACCUGAACAGGGCUUUACGACCCGAAAGCCUUCUUCACCCACGCGGCGUUGCUGCGUCAGGGUUUCCCCCAUUGCGCAAAAUUCCUCA